UACGUAGGGUGCGAGCGUUGUCCGGAAUUAUUGGGCGUAAAGGGCUCGUAGGCGGUUUGUCGCGUCGGGAGUGAAAACCUCGGGCUUAACUCGGGGCUUGCUUUCGAUACGGGCAGACUAGAGGUAUGCAGGGGAGACUGGAAUUCCUGGUGUAGCGGUGAAAUGCGCAGAUAUCAGGAGGAACACCGGUGGCGAAGGCGGGUCUCUGGGCAGUAACUGACGCUGAGGAGCGAAAGCGUGGGGAGCGAACAGG
rnacentral:rRNA from 1 species